ensembl:lncRNA
UUUCCUUCCUUUUGUAAUCAGGGUUUUAGAUAACCAAACUUUCCUCUUAUUCUACAGUUUCUUUCAGAAAGGUGGAGAUGUGCAGAAGGGGCUGCAUGAAGUGAGAUGAAAUUUGGGGCAGCUUUUUAAAUUUAGAGAACAAGAAAGGACCCUGAAUUUGAUGCAUCCACAUCACAUCUGUUACCUGGAAUCCACAGUUUGUGAGCUCUGUUCCCAGUUGGGAGAAGUGAAGAGGAUCUGUGAAAACAAGGUCCAAGACCUUGAGAAGCAGUUCUACCUAGCUCAUUCUGAGACAGCAGAAGCUCAGACAGGCAGCACUCAGAAUUCCAAACUGAGGACCAGUGUUAUUUCGCAGACAAGAAAUACAGGACGUGGAAGCCCCAUGCAGGCAUCCCUGCAGUUUGCUGAGUGCCAGUGCAUCGUGCAGUGCCAGGAGCAGGAAGCCAUGCAGGCUGCAGCACACCUUGGAUGUGAGAGCGAGUGCCUUCCUGGGAAGUGUGGGCCCAGCCUCAGGUUCAUUUGCUUUGGGGCCUGGCUUUAGGUUUAACCUCUUCUGUGCCAACAGCUCUCAAAAGUCUGUGUUCUGAAACCCUUUUCUGUGUGGAAUUCCUCAGUGCUGCACAUGUCCAUAAUUCCAGGUUUUUGGAGUGCUAUUUCCAGUAAUGACAACAAAAUAUUAGAUGGAGUCCAAUCCCUGUCUAUACUCCUUAGAUGGACAGAGGAUAUUUUUUACUUUUGCCUUAUUUCUAACCAUGGACUCUUCAGGCUGCAGUGAGGCUACUGCUCUAAAUGAAGGGUACCUUGAGAGCAGCAGUUUAAUCACAAGAAGUUAUCGUUCAUUUUAGUGACCCACCCCAGCUGCUGGCUUUGGGAGAGGAACAGAGUGCUAUAUUCAAAAUACAAUUCUACAUAAGCAAUACAAAAAGUGCUUCAGAGGAUGAAUGACCAAGGUGGGGAACUUUUAUUGUUUUUCCCCAGGAGCUGCAGGGCCCAGGCUACUCCUCAGCUUCUGCCUCAGGGAAGCUGCAGCACUCUGUGCCUCGGUCCCACCUGCUCUCUGCUGUCUGGCCACAUGCCCUGCACCUGCCCCGCUCUGCCCCCCAGGUGAGUGCCUGCCUCAGCAUGGACACCAGCACGUCCCAAACAGCAAAAAUAACAUGGAAUUCCUUCAGGGAAGAGCAUCUGCUCAGAGCAUCUGAGAGCAAAUUCCUAACGCCCAAGGUGAAAUAAUUCCUGUAGCUUCGCAUGUGCUGGGUCCUUUCAGAUUUUUUUUUUUGGUGCAAAAAACAAUGUGACAACUAUAAAAUCCUAUAGCCUGUGCUAAGUUCAUCUUACCUCUUCCACAAAUGACAUUCAUGAACUAUUAAGUCUGAAGGUAAGUAGUUUGGUUUUCACUUUUUUUUUGCUGUUUAUCACAUUUGACAGUGAAAAUAGAUUUGUGCUUAGUUGUUGAAACAUUUAAUCAUCUGCUUGAUAUUUGAAUCUUCCUCCAACCUGGCUUUUAUGAUUUUGAUCAGUUUUAUCCACACCGUUUUUCUUCCUUUUGAUUUUGUACGUCUACCUUUAGAUUGAAAUAAAAUACACUGAUUUUUCA